rnacentral:rRNA from 1 species
AUUAAACGCUGGCGGCAUGCCUUACACAUGCAAGUCGAACGGCAGCACGGGGGCAACCCUGGUGGCGAGUGGCGGACGGGUGAGUAAAGCAUCGGAACGUAUCCUGGAGUGGGGGAUAACGUAGCGAAAGUUACGCUAAUACCGCAUAUUCUGUGAGCAGGAAAGCAGGGGAUCGCAAGACCUUGCGCUCUGGGAGCGGCCGAUGUCGGAUUAGCUAGUUGGUGGGGUAAAGGCCUACCAAGGCGACGAUCCGUAGCGGGUCUGAGAGGAUGAUCCGCCACACUGGGACUGAGACACGGUCCAGACUCCUACGGGAGGCAGCAGUGGGGAAUUUUGGACAAUGGGCGCAAGCCUGAUCCAGCCAUGCCGCGUGAGUGAAGAAGGCCUGGUGUAAG